CUGUGGUUAUCAAUUUUAGUAUUUAUUGAAUGAUGGAAGACAAGGAAAAUAUCUCUCAAACUCCAAAAACAAAUGUUGCACCUUUGCUAAAUGUAAAAUGAAUUUUGAGAUAUUUGUUUUACAUGACAAUGAACCUGUCCAAAAAAUAAUGCAAAUUUACCCAAACGGUGCUAGUUUAUUAUUUACAAAAAUGCUCUUAUCUGCCAUAAGUAUUUGGGAAAAAACUGUUUUACACUCAGGAACACUAAUGAAAUACCUUAACGACAACUUAAAAAAUAAAAUCUUCCCUACCCUCAAUGACCACCACUCGAGAAAAGUUACAGAAUGCAUUAAAAAUGAAUAUAUGCGGAAACAAACAUAAGUUUUGUAUUUGCCAUAUUUUUCUCCCAUUCUGCAAGAAAAAUGUAAAAGGAUUUUAAUUGCUCACAAGCUUUCUGUAACUAAAGAUUUUAUACUUAGCUAUUACUUAGUAAAGGUACUUACUAGUAAGAAAAUUCUCUAAACUUCUUAUCAUCCCAUACACAAUAAAAAAAAUCUAUGGUAGGCUAUGUAAUCUGGCCACGUAACUAUUAGUUAGAAGCCUUUGUUAUCAUUAACAUACCUUGUUUCUCCCAACUUUCUAAAACUGUUUCUAUUACC
rnacentral:lncRNA from 1 species